rnacentral:misc_RNA from 1 species
CCAAACUUGGUCAUUUAGAGGAAGUAAAAGUCGUAACAAGGUUUCCGUAGGUGAACCUGCGGAAGGAUCAUUAAUGAAUUUUGUAGAGUUGGCUGUUCUGGCUUUCGGGCAAUGUGAACGCCUUCCCAAUACAUCCAUCCUACCCUGUGUGCACUGUUGGAGAGUAGUAGUAGCCCUUGGCUGUAAAGUCGGAUUUGACCAUUGCAACCCUCUGUGGUGCUUGGUCUUUUUCUUGCUACUCUCUAUUUUUUUUAUGAAUGCCUGUUUAACAGAAUGUAUUAAUAAUGUAUAAUCAUUAUACAACUUUCAACAACGGAUCUCUUGGCUCUCGCAUCGAUGAAGAACGCAGC